rnacentral:misc_RNA from 1 species
AAAAAAAAAAAAAAAAUCUUUGAAGCCUUACUUCCAGAAGUAAAUCUACAACGAGAAACUUCACCGGCGACUAUCGUCGUCACGAAACCGCCGGUUAGCACCUUAAAUACCUAGAAAUCAAAAGCCAAACAGAAAACGAGUGGUUCUGCUUUCUGGGUUUCAUACAAUAGAUCAUUUACAAAGCAUAACUACCUGCUUUCACGAUGAAACGGCGACGUUUUGGUGCUUAAGGUUAUAUGUAUUGAUUGUUGCAUUUGUAUAGGUAGG